GCCAGAGGUAAAUGAAUCCAAGUACAGUUCUUUAUUUACAAGAUAGUGAAAGUCGGGUAAGUAGAAAGUGUUCGGUGCAGAUCACACAGUGCGGGUGUAGGAAGGUGAGUAUGUCUUUUGCAGAGUUGUCACUGCCACUCACUUUUUGCUAAUCUUGGUCUCUUUCACAGAUCGCUCUAAGAACAGGAGGAUAUCAGGCAAACACAGGAUAUUUUGGGAAUCGUUGGAUUUCAGGCCACGGGGUAGUGUCCAGGAAUCCAGGAGGCAGUAGAAUAAUAACACAGAGGUUAGUGUUUAAAAGGUAAGUAUUGAAAUUGAACUAGGUCUGUGGUGAGUGAUUAGUAUCUAAUUGAUCAAUACUAGUAUCUAUAAAAUACAUACUAGUAUCCAAUGAAUAACUACUAGUACAUUAAAAUUAUGUACUAGAUGCUAGUAGAAUACAUACUAGUCAAAUCGGAACAGUUGAUAUUUCAAUAACGGAACGGAUCCCAAUAGAAGUCAAUUGAGUUUGUCAAAUUUAAAGAACACUUUGAUUGACAGCAGUGGUCCUAUAGGUUGCUCAGAAUGAGAUAGUACAAUGUGAAGAUAUAGUGUUAUAGUUCUGCAAUUUGAGGUCAUUUACUAUAGAAAAAUAGUGUUUUUUAAAAGCCUUUUUGACUGUUUAAUGCCAAUAAUGUUCCUAUCUCUGUGAAACUUUGCAUGCUUGUUAAGAAUCAAAUAUCUCAUGCUCACCUAGUUUUCGUUAAGGCUUUAUUGGGAUUUUGGGUAUUUUUGGACAUGUCCCUUUUCUUAAUUGUAAUGUUCUGCCCGAGUUUCCCUGGUUUCACCACUGGAUGGUGUACUUUCAACCCCAGAUCACCUCUUUAUUAGAGACUUGCACCACACCUGUAUUGAAUCUCUCCUAAUUGCCCACCUUCUUUUGAUGCCUCACUGUCUAUUGUUCUUGUUCGUUCCUAAAGUCUGUUUGAGAAUGAUGCUGCUAAGGAUUUUUGGUUGGAGAAUUUUGCUGUCUUCUGCUUUGGUGUCCAAAGACAGAAUUUGGCUACAUUUUCAUUCAUCUCUUGAGGAAACCCAGGAGUGCUGCUGUGGCAGGCAAAUUAUCACUGGAAAGGGAAUUCCGUGCAGGUUCCUCCAUCAAACCGGGUCGGAAAAGACUGACUACAUCCUUCCACAACACCCAUUAAAACACAAGCAAAUGUAGUCAAAUAAGGAUUGCCUCCACCUGGACUUAGCUUGAUAAUGUAAUGCCAGGAGCACUCCUGUUUUGUUUCUGAAAACACUACAUUACACUGGGCAAACUUAACUGAACAUGCUUUUGCAAGAACUUUAAUAGGACCCUAACACAAGGUAAGACAGCAGUGUAGAUAAAUAAAACUGUAGCAUCAUGGCAGCAAAAGAGUUCAACUGGUAUGUUUACACUUAUUUUGUUCAGUCAGUAUCCAGUCUGAUUUCAGAUUCAGAAAGUUCUUUUCAUAUAGAACCAUUGAGACACUGUUUUCCAAAUGAAUGUUGUUCAGUGCUUUGGCGCAAUGUAUUUUGUUUAAAGCACUAUAUAAAUAAAGGUGAUUGAUUGAUUGAUUGAGAUGUAACAAUCCAAUUCAUAUAUUCCUUUUUAUACAGACGUGCUUGAAUGUGUAGAAGAAACAGAUAAUAAGAAAUAAAAAGAUUUGAAUAAAUACACAUGUGUGUGUGUGUGUGUGUGUUUUAUUCAUAUAUUUUUUGAAGAAGGAGAACAUUUAACUGUUCAUGAGAUGGAUUGACUGGGGGAAGAAACUUUUCCUGUGCCUGGCAGACCUGGGCCCGUGUUCAUGAAAAGAGUUGCUCCUAAAUUUAAAAUAAAUUCUUAGAAAUGUGUCCGUUUCCACAUAAAAUUAAAGGAAAGAUCCUAGUGAAAAAGGAAAGUAAUUCAGAAAGCAUCUUAACCCUUAAAAUAGCUCUUAAGGUCCAAAAGUAGUUAGGAAUAUUGACAAGGAUUUUAAAGAGCUUAAUGGUGUCUUUAGCAGUGGAGAAAAUCAAAGAAAUGUGAAGAGAGAGAAGCAAAGCUUUGCACACAAUGCAUGACAGUGAGUUAAUAAGACACUACACAUUAGAUCGUGCAGUGAUCAUGUUUGACCGUGAUCAUGUGAUCAUGAAAGAUAUUAUAAGAGACAACAUCUCUGACAUGGUUUAAAAAUGCUAUAGCGCCAGAAAUUAAAGUAAUCACUCCAUUAACUAUG
ensembl:lncRNA